UCCGGUUUGACACCGGCAGUCCCGUUAGAGUCCUCAGCAUUACCUGGUAGCAACUAACGGCAGGGGUUUCGCUCGUUAAGGGACUUAACCCGACACUUCACAGCACGAGCUGACGACAGCCAUGCAGCACCUGUGUAUGUUCCACCCAAAGGGCGUGGCCAGUCUUUCAACUGGUUAAUCCAUACAUGUCAAGCCCAGGAUAAGGUUCUUCGCGUUGCUUCGAAUUAAGCCACAUGCUCCACCGCUUGUGUGAGCCCCCGUCAAUUCCUUUGAGUUUUAGCCUUGCGACCGUACUCCCCAGGCGGCGCACUAAAUACUUUAGCUUCGACCCCGGUGGUGUCAGAACCUCCGGGAUCUAGUGCGCAUCGUUUACAGCGUGGACUAC
rnacentral:misc_RNA from 1 species